rnacentral:rRNA from 1 species
UACGUAGGGGGCAAGCGUUGUCCGGAUUUAUUGGGCGUAAAGAGCGUGUAGGCGGCCAGGUAGGUCUGCUGUGAAAACUCGAGGCUCAACCUCGAGACGCCGGCGGAAACCAUCUGGCUAGAGUCCGGAAGAGGAGAGUGGAAUUCCCGGUGUAGCGGUGAAAUGCGCAGAUAUCGGGAAGAACACCCGUGGCGAAGGCGGCUCUCUGGGACGGUACUGACGCUGAGACGCGAAAGCGUGGGGAGCGAACAGG